UACCGAGGAUUUCCUCGGCAGUUAACUGCAGCCGAUCUCUUAAUUCCUCGGCAGUUAACUGCCGAUGAGGCA
rnacentral:pre_miRNA from 1 species